rnacentral:rRNA from 1 species
GGUUAAGCGACUAAGCGUACACGGUGGAUGCCCUGGCAGUCAGAGGCGAUGAAGGACGUGCUAAUCUGCGAAAAGCGUCGGUAAGGUGAUAUGAACCGUUAUAACCGGCGAUGUCCGAAUGGGGAAACCCAGUGCAAUUCGUUGCACUAUCGUUAACUGAAUACAUAGGUUAACGAGGCGAACCGGGGGAACUGAAACAUCUAAGUACCCCGAGGAAAAGAAAUCAACCGAGAUUCCCCCAGUAGCGGCGAGCGAACGGGGAGCAGCCCAGAGUCUGAAUCAGCUUGUGUGUUAGUGGAACGGUCUGGAAAGUCCGACGGUACAGGGUGAUAGUCCCGUACACCAAAAUGCACAGGUUGUGAACUCGAAGAGUAGGGCGGGACACGUGGUAUCCUGUCUGAAUAUGGGGGGACCAUCCUCCAAGGCUAAAUACUCCUGACUGACCGAUAGUGAACCAGUACCGUGAGGGAAAGGCGAAAAGAACCCCGGCGAGGGGAGUGAAAAAGAACCUGAAACCGUGUACGUACAAGCAGUGGGAGCACCUUCGGGUGUGACUGCGUACCUUUUGUAUAAUGGGUCAGCGACUUAUAUUCUGUAGCAAGGUUAACCGUAUAGGGGAGCCGCAGGGAAACCGAGUCUUAACUGGGCGUUAAGUUGCAGGGUAUAGACCCGAAACCCGGUGAUCUAGCCAUGGGCAGGUUGAAGGUUGGGUAACACUAACUGGAGGACCGAACCGACUAAUGUUGAAAAAUUAGCGGAUGACUUGUGGCUGGGGGUGAAAGGCCAAUCAAACCGGGAGAUAGCUGGUUCUCCCCGAAAGCUAUUUAGGUAGCGCCUCGUGAAUUCAUCUUCGGGGGUAGAGCACUGUUUCGGCUAGGGGGUCAUCCCGACUUACCAACCCGAUGCAAACUACGAAUACCGAAGAAUGUUAUCACGGGAGACACACGGCGGGUGCUAACGUCCGUCGUGAAGAGGGAAACAACCCAGACCGCCAGCUAAGGUCCCAAAGUCAUGGUUAAGUGGGAAACGAUGUGGGAAGGCACAGACAGCCAGGAUGUUGGCUUAGAAGCAGCCAUCAUUUAAAGAAAGCGUAAUAGCUCACUGGUCGAGUCGGCCUGCGCGGAAGAUGUAACGGGGCUAAACCAUGCACCGAAGCUGCGGCAGCGACACUAUGUGUUGUUGGGUAGGGGAGCGUUCUGUAAGCCUGCGAAGGUGUGCUGUGAGGCAUGCUGGAGGUAUCAGAAGUGCGAAUGCUGACAUAAGUAACGAUAAAGCGGGUGAAAAGCCCGCUCGCCGGAAGACCAAGGGUUCCUGUCCAACGUUAAUCGGGGCAGGGUGAGUCGACCCCUAAGGCGAGGCCGAAAGGCGUAGUCGAUGGGAAACAGGUUAAUAUUCCUGUACUUGGUGUUACUGCGAAGGGGGGACGGAGAAGGCUAUGUUAGCCGGGCGACGGUUGUCCCGGUUUAAGCAUGUAGGCUGGUUGUCCAGGCAAAUCCGGAUAAUCAAGGCUGAGGUGUGAUGACGAGGCACUACGGUGCUGAAGUAACAAAUGCCCUGCUUCCAGGAAAAGCCUCUAAGCAUCAGGUAACAUCAAAUCGUACCCCAAACCGACACAGGUGGUCAGGUAGAGAAUACCAAGGCGCUUGAGAGAACUCGGGUGAAGGAACUAGGCAAAAUGGUGCCGUAACUUCGGGAGAAGGCACGCUGGUGUGUAGGUGAAGUCCCUGCGGAUGGAGCUGAGACCAGUCGAAGAUACCAGCUGGCUGCAACUGUUUAUUAAAAACACAGCACUGUGCAAACACGAAAGUGGACGUAUACGGUGUGACGCCUGCCCGGUGCCGGAAGGUUAAUUGAUGGGGUUAUCCGUAAGGAGAAGCUCUUGAUCGAAGCCCCGGUAAACGGCGGCCGUAACUAUAACGGUCCUAAGGUAGCGAAAUUCCUUGUCGGGUAAGUUCCGACCUGCACGAAUGGCGUAAUGAUGGCCAGGCUGUCUCCACCCGAGACUCAGUGAAAUUGAACUCGCUGUGAAGAUGCAGUGUACCCGCGGCAAGACGGAAAGACCCCGUGAACCUUUACUAUAGCUUGACACUGAACAUUGAGCCUUGAUGUGUAGGAUAGGUGGGAGGCUUUGAAGCGUGGACGCCAGUCUGCGUGGAGCCAACCUUGAAAUACCACCCUUUAAUGUUUGAUGUUCUAACGUUGGCCCCUUACCGGGGUUGCGGACAGUGUCUGGUGGGUAGUUUGACUGGGGCGGUCUCCUCCCAAAGCGUAACGGAGGAGCACGAAGGUUAGCUAAUCCUGGUCGGACAUCAGGAGGUUAGUGCAAUGGCAUAAGCUAGCUUGACUGCGAGCGUGACGGCGCGAGCAGGUGCGAAAGCAGGUCAUAGUGAUCCGGUGGUUCUGAAUGGAAGGGCCAUCGCUCAACGGAUAAAAGGUACUCCGGGGAUAACAGGCUGAUACCGCCCAAGAGUUCAUAUCGACGGCGGUGUUUGGCACCUCGAUGUCGGCUCAUCACAUCCUGGGGCUGAAGUAGGUCCCAAGGGUAUGGCUGUUCGCCAUUUAAAGUGGUACGCGAGCUGGGUUUAGAACGUCGUGAGACAGUUCGGUCCCUAUCUGCCGUGGGCGCUGGAGAAUUGAGGGGGGCUGCUCCUAGUACGAGAGGACCGGAGUGGACGCAUCACUGGUGUUCGGGUUGUCAUGCCAAUGGCACUGCCCGGUAGCUAAAUGCGGAAGAGAUAAGUGCUGAAAGCAUCUAAGCACGAAACUUGCCCCGAGAUGAGUUCUCCCUGAGACUUUAAGUCUCCUGAAGGAACGUUAAAGACGAUGACGUUGAUAGGCCGGGUGUGUAAGCGCAGCGAUGCGUUGAGCUAACCGGUACUAAUGAACCGUGAGGCUUAACCUU